AGGUGUGACAGGACCCGUGGAUCUUGUAUGACCAAGAUAUAAGCGGGCAGCCAGACCACCUGCAUAGGUAACCAUGCAGCCUCCAGCACUGGAGCCUGUGACCCUCCACUUCACCUAGGACCCUGCCCCCUGCCCUGUGAGACUACACCCCCUGCUGGGUUUUAUUUUGGAAUGUUGCUGCCUUUCCUUCAGCAUGGGCCUCUAUGCAAGGUGCUGUUCAUCAAAAUACUGAGGUGGAGAGAAGGACUCAGUUUGGAUGACUGUACGUACUUGCUGAAACAUUUGUGUGUGUGUGUAUCUAGUUAAAUUUGGUAUGAGAUUUACUUUUAUAGUGAGAGUGAGGUGGGGUGCAGUGAAGCGUGUGACCUAAAUCUGGGGUCUCUAACCACUAGAAGCCUCUGAUUUUUAUCCAAAGAAUCUGACAUUUAUCCAACAUCCACCUUGGCUCAGAAGCAAAGCAUUUGAAAAAUACGGAUGCUCAAAUCCCAGCUCCAGUAAGUCUGAUUUAAAUGAUAUCUGGGUCCGAGACAUCGAUAUGUUUCAAAAGUUCCUCAGGGAAUUCCAAUACGCAACCUGGGCUGAGAACCUCUGCCUUAGAAGGAUUCACAACACUCAUUCCGCUUGCCUAGGGAGAGGUUUCCAGCCAGACCAGUGGGUCUCAAAAUAAAUGUUUAGAAACAGCUGGAGGUACUUGCCUGUGGCCCACACUCCUGACUCCCACUCAGGGACCCUGACUGAGGUCUAGAGAGGGACCCAGGCAAUUGCCUUUUAGUCCAGCAGCCAAUAGUGGCUCUUACAGAUGGACCACACUUUGAGAAGUUCCUAAUAGCCUGGACAGCCAGGUUCCUCACCCACCAGCUCUGGUCCACAAAGUAUAGAAAUUUUCUUGUAGGUUACCUGGAAAGAUGAAUCAAAUAGUACACUUUAUCCGCAAAUAUCAGAACUUCGUUACAGAAAAAUGCAACCUCAGACAUAACUAAUCUGCUUGUCCUUGUCAACUCAACUCUUGAACUGGCACGAGCUCUGAUUUCUUUCAGGGGGCUGAAACGGUACCCAGAUCUGCCUGUGGUUUUGCCUAAAAGAGGGUUUCUCUUGACAACAGCAUCAAGGCUUGCGUCGAACACUGUUGUGUGUCUAGAUCUGAAGUGAUUGCUGGAGCAUAUGGAAAUCAACCUGCAGAUAAGUUGAAAGUUGAGUAAAAGCAUCAGAAACAGUUAAGUUCCUGCAGAAGCUCCAAUUGCUCAACUACCCAGGAAGUGGCAUUUCUUUUUUUUUUUUUUGUGGUACGUGGGCCUCUCACCGUUGUGGCCUCUCCCGUUGCGGAGCACAGGCUCCGGACGCGCAGGCUCAGCGGCCAUGGCUCAUGGGCCCAGCCGCUCCGCGGCAUGUGGGAUCUUCCCAAACCGGGGCACGCACCUGUGUCCCCUGCAUCGGCAGGCAGACUCUCUACCACUGCGCCACCAGGGAAGCCCGGAAGUGGCAUUUCUAAUACAAUCACCCGCGGCCUUUAGGACGUAAAUGCCAUCGCAACAUGUGUGGUUAAAAACACUGUUCCGUAAAGUGAAAUUUUCUAAAAAAAAAAAAAAAAAGCUUGUCUCCCCAUUGUUUUUCUUUUCAUUAGAAACAAAAGUGUAAGGGAUGUUCCUUCUGUUACUCCUGUUGCUGAAAUAGGGGUGGGGGUUGUCCCCUGUCUGUAAAGGAGCUAAACACGGUCAUUUAAGUGAAGAGUUGGGCAUAAUGCUUUCAAGUGUUCUUGUUUUGGGGGUCCUAGACCCUGGCCUGGUAGCAAGGGACACCUGGCCGUGCCUUUUCCACCUGCUGCCGCGGCCUCUCUGACAACUAGAUCGCCAUUUCACUGCCCAGAACCAUAGCAGAAUUCUCUCCUCUUUUUGGAAGGGUAUCACUGGUAUCUGUCACAGAAUGCAGUACAGACUGAAAAUGCUUUCCAUUUUGUCAAAAUGACUGUCUUCUACCUUUAAAAAAAUCCAUGCUCAAUAUAUCUGCUGAGUUGGGGCAAGAUCGUCUGAGGAAUAAAAAGAUAAAUCACAUGGGGACACUCACCUCAAGAAGCUAACAGGUGGGACCAUGACCUAAGAGAGAAUGUUGUCGAAGUAGCAUUCAGUGUGCAGGUAGAACAGUAUCAAAGUUCAAGAUCAAAAAGGAUGGUGGUGUUAGGUGACGGACAGAGUCCUGCCAACCCAGGAUGGGACGAUUUAGACUUACAAUGAGGAACUCCACGGUUCUUUGUUUUAUAUAUGAAAACUAAAUGAUUAUAGAGUGAUAUAAUAAGGGUACAUGUCAGGAACACAUAAGGAGAAGAUAAUAUACAGUACUUUCUAAGGAGUUACUUAAGGAAUAAGUGAUUAGUUCUCUCAAAUGGAAAUAUUUGCUCUAGUACAGUAAAUUAUUCUGAUUCAUUUGUUCUCUCUUAACAUGCAUUUCUUGGAAAACUUACUGGCAAAAUUCAUCACAAAGUAAUUGGGAGAUUACAAAUUACAGAAGAAUAACCCUUUUUAAUCCUUACACAAAUUCGUUCUUAUUUUAAGGGCAGUUUAAAUAUCACAACAUCCCAGUCUGCAUUUGCAUUUACUUGUCCAUUACAUGUUAGAUUCUUUUACUUCAAAGAGCUCAAGGAAAACAGCUAGAAACAUGGCUGUGCUGACAACAAAGAAUUGGUUACAAAGGGAAUUAAUAAAGAUUUAUCCAUUUACUAAUAAAGUAAUGUGACCAUUUGAUAGUUCUAAUUUCUGGUUAGAUCUUUAAAGGUGACUUAUUCACUUCUUUUCAAAAAAAUGUGCAAGACACAGACUGGGAGAAAAUGUUUGCAAAAGACACAUCAGACAAAAACUGUUACCCAACAUAUGGAAAAAAAAACCUCUUAAAACUCAACAGUAAGAAAAUGAACCAUCUGAUUUUUAAAAGGGCCAAAGACCUUAAUGGACACUUCACCAAAGAUAUACAGAUGGCAAGUAAUCAGGGAAAUGCAAAUUAAAACAAUAAUGAGAUACCACUGCACACCUAUCAGAAUGGCCAAAAUCUGAAACACUGACACCACCAGAGGCGGGCGAGGUUGUGGAGAAACAGGAGCUCUUAUUCUUUGCUGGUGGGAAUGCAAAAUGGUACAGCCACUUUGGAAGACAGUUUGGCAACUUCUUACAAAACUAAACAUACUCUUAUCAUAGGAUCCGGCAAUCAUACUCCUUGGUAUUUACACAAAGAAGUUGAAAGCGUGUCCACAAAAAAAAACCUGCAUGCAGAUGUUUAUAGCAGCUUUAUUCAUAACUGCUAAAACUUGGAAGCAACAAGAUGUCCUUCAGAAGGUGAAUGGGAUAAAUAAACUGUGGUACAUCCAGACAGUGGAGUAUUAUUCAGCACUAAAAAGAAAUGAGUUAUCAAGCCAUGAAAAGACAUGGAAGGAGCUGAAAAGCAUAUUGCUAAGUGAAAGAAGCAAAUGUGAAAAGGCCACACACUGUAUGGUUCCAGCUAUAUGACACUCUUGGAAAGACAAAACUAUAGAGACAGGAAAAAGAUCAGUGACUGUUGAGGGUUGGAGGGAGACAGGGAUGAAUUGGUGGAGUACAGAGGAUAUUUAGGGUGGUGAAACAAUAUUAUAAUGGUGGAUACGUGUCAGUAUAUGUUUGUUAAAAUCCAUAGUAUGUCCCACACCAAGAGUGAGCCCUUAUGUAAAUUGUGGACUUUGGGUGAUAAUGAUGUCUCAGCAUAGGUUCCUCACUUAUAACAAAUGUUCCACUCUGGUGGGGGAUGUUGGUAAUGGGGGAGGUUGUACCCUGCUCAAUUUUGCCCUAAACCGAAAAUUGCUCUAGAAAAGUCUUUUUUUUUUUUUAAUUAAUGAAAACAAUAAUGCGUAUGCUGCUUCCAGUUGACUUGAAACUACAGAAUACAGUUUUCUCAUGAAUUAGAUGAAAGCUCCUUUUCAAAUGUCUACAUAUAUUGUACAAUUUUUUCUUCUCUUAAAAAAUAAAACAUUAUUGGGCUUCCCUGGUGGUGCAGUGGUUGAGAGUCCGCCUGCCGAUGCAGGGGACACGGGUUUGUGCCCCGGUCCAGGAAGAUCCCACAUGCCGCAGAGCGGCUGGGCCCAUGAGCCAUGGCCGGUGAGCCUGCGCGUCCGGAGCCUGUGCUCCGCAACGGGAGAGGCCACAACAGUGAGAGGCCCGCGUACCGCAAAAAAAAUAAUAAUAAUAAAAAUAAAAAAUAAAACAUUAUUGAGUUAUAUUUGGAUAGGUGAUACUUGUGCAUGGAAAAGGAAAGAAGUGGUAGAGAGUAAAAGUAAGUCUCUCCUAGAUACCUAGUUCCUUUCCCUAGAGGCAACUAUUAUUAACUGGUCUGGUACAUCCUCCCAAAGAGAGAGUCUAUGCAUAUACAAAUGUAUACAUUUACUAUUACUGACAUUAUUACCAAUGUUACACAACAGUUGCAGACUAAACAUACAGGAGUGCAAUUUGGUUUUUCACUGAGCACAUUUUGGAGAUGGGCUUUGUAAAUUGAUACAGCUACUAUGGAGAACAGUAUGGAGGUUCCUUAAAAAACUACAAAUAGAACUACCAUAUGACCCGGCAAUCCCACUACUGGGCAUAUACCCUGAGAAAACCAUAAUUCAAAAAGACACAUGCACCCCAAUAUUCAUUACAGCUCUAUUCACAAUAGCCAGGUCAUGGAAGCAACCUAAAUGUCCACCAAAAGAGGAAUGGAUAAAGAAGAUGUGGUAGAGAUAUACAAUGGAAUAUUAGCCAUAAAAAGGAACGAAAUUGGGUCCUUUUGCAGAAACAUGGAUGGACCUAGUGUCUGUCAUACAGAGUAAAGUAAGUCGGAAAGAGAAAAACAAAUAUAUUAACACAUAUAUGUGGAACCUAGAAAAAUGGUACAGAUGAACCUAUCUGCAGGGCAGGAAUAGAGAUGCAGAUGUAGAGAAUGGACGUGUGGACCCGGAGCUGGGGGCAAAGGGGAAUGGGAUGAAUUGGGAGAUUGGGAUUGACAUAUAUACAGUACCAUGUGUAAAACAGAUAGCUAGUGGGAACCUGCAGUAUAGUGCAGGGAGCUCAGCUGGGGACUCUGUGGUGAAGGAGAUGGGUGGGAUGCAGGGGAGGGGAGGGAGGUCCAUGAGGGAGGGGAUAUAUGUAUACCUAUAGCUGAUUCACUUCAUUGUACAGCAGAAAGUAACACAACAUUGUAAAGCAACUAUACCCCAAUUAAAAAAAAAAAAAGAAAACAUAAGAGCUUCUUCAUUCUCUUUAAUGGCUACAUAGUAUUCUGUUACAUGAGCAUAGAUAGCAUAGUUUAUUUAUGCAAUCUUCCUAUCCAUGGGCAUGGUGGUUCUUCAUCUUUUCUGCUACUGCAAGCAAUAACUGCAGUGAAUAUGCUUUUAUACAUUUAUCUACUUCGUAUAUGUUUGUGGGAUAAAUUCUUAAAUGUGGAAUUGCUUGGUCAGAGUAUGCAAGCUUAUAAUUUUGCUUCAUAUCACCCAAACACCCCUUUCAGAGAUUGUACUAGUUUGCAUUACUGCCACUCAUGUAUUUUUUUCAUACCUUAGCUGACACAGUGUGCUCUCAAACCUUUUGCCAAUCUGAUAGAUGAAUCUUGAUAUCUCAUGGUGACUUUAACUUCCAUUUCUCUUAUUAAGAGUCAGGUCAAGCAUCUUUGCAUGUGUUUAAAGCCUGUUUGAAUUUCCUUUCCUAUGAACUAUCUACUCAUAUUCUGUCCCAUUGUUUUGAUUGGUAAAUAAGUAAAUUAAAAUCCUAUUUUAUUUGUAUACCUUAUUUUUCAACCAUAAUAUUAAGUUGAUGGUAGCCACUGAAUUUAAACACCAUAACUCAAUCAUUAGUUUCAAAUAGGAAAAAAAAAAAUGUGGAGGCACUUAAUCCCUGAGCACACUUUGAUAUAUAACUCACUGGUGCUUGACUUUUCCUUUUCAACUCAUUCUAAAUGUCAUCUUAUAAUGAAAACUGUUUCCAGUCCUCAGGCUUGCUCAGGGUCCAACAGCUCUGGUUUUUGUUUGUUUCGUUUUAAUCCCAGAAGGGUGUCUUAAACUCAGCCUCAGACAUUAUUAUCUAUGCAAACCUUCUGAGGAAUUUUAAUUCAUUAAAAUAACAGCCUUAAUAUUGUCUUCCAGCAUUCACAGUCUCUGCCUUUCGAUAGUACCAAAUAUCUAAGUGCCUUUAUCCUCACCGCCCCCCCACCCCCCCCACCCCCCCCCCCCCCGCCUCUCAAUAAGAAGAUCCUAUCUAGUCCAUUAAAUAGAGAAGUGAAAAAGUCCUUUUCUCUUUCUCAGUCUGGGUAUGGUUUAAAGUGCCUUGUUUACAAUCUCCAAAUAUCACAUUGCUCUUGGUGACAGAUAUUCUCUAGCUAUUGAUUAAAAGAUACAUAUUUUACCCUAAACUGAAUAUAAUGAAUCAAAAGGAUUUUGAGUAUUACUUUUGAACCAGCUUUAUCACACCUACCUAUCAGGAAUUUGCUGAGAGUGAAAUAGAAGGUAAAGACACAAAGAAGACAGAGGAUAGCAUCAAAGGUGAUACGAUGGAGAUCAGGAAGUAGGUUUGUAAAUACCAGGCUGUAUGUAGGAGAAGCUGCUAUCUGUUGUUCUGGUUUUCUGGUUUAUCACCAACCAGGCUGGGCAGAAGCAACCAAUCUGAGAAAAGAAUUGCUAGUAUCCAAUCAUACUGUGGUGAGAGGAAACCCACUUACAGGAAAGUUAGAUGCGAUUUAGAGACCAUAUUCUCAACCCAGAAACACUUCACUGGAGCAGUACUAGUUAACCUUAACACAAACUUUAGAUCUCUGUUCAUUCUUCUUAUUAAGAAGACAAUAGACUGUUGGCAGGAGGCCAGAUUGAAGAUAUAAUGUGUGAUUUUUUUUUUUUUAUCAUUGUCUUAACUAAAUUUCCUAGAGAAUAAAACCUGCAGCAAAGAUUACUUGCUAAGGCUAUGUUGGAUUCGGCAACCCCAGGGCUGCAAAAGUGAGAGAGAAAGAGAGAUGAGGCAGGAGAGAAAGGAAUGCAGAUACCAGGCGUGCGUGUUAAGGAACUGGCCAUAAAGUCACGAGGAAUUACGGGCCAGUUG